UAGUGCAUCCGUGGAAGCUGUCGGAGGCAAAUCGAGUUCACUGUAACUCAACACAUCCUCUGAGGAAAGUCCCUGGACCUUUGGCCUGAAAGAGGCGUCUCGUUGAGAGAUACUCUGUUACUCGCGUCGUACUCAAAGCGAUGAUCUCAUGGCGAGCGUACGACGGGUGCAGACUUGUCGCUGUACCGAGUAAUGCUUGGUUAACUGAACAGGGCUUAUACCGGAGACACU
rnacentral:RNase_MRP_RNA from 1 species